UACGUAGGGUGCGAGCGUUAAUCGGAAUUACUGGGCGUAAAGCGUGCGCAGGCGGUGAUGUAAGACCGAUGUGAAAUCCCCGGGCUUAACCUGGGAACUGCAUUGGUGACUGCAUUGCUGGAGUAUGGCAGAGGGGGGUGGAAUUCCACGUGUAGCAGUGAAAUGCGUAGAGAUGUGGAGGAACACCGAUGGCGAAGGCAGCCCCCUGGGCCAAUACUGACGCCUCAUGCACGAAAGCGUGGGGAGCGAAACAAGGAUGAUAAACCC
rnacentral:rRNA from 1 species